GACGGAGGGGGCAAGCGUUGUCCGGACUUACUGGGCGUAAAGGGUCCGUAGGCGGUGCCGUGCGUCGGUGCUGAAAGCGCCCCGCUUAACGGGGCGAGGCGUGCCGAUACGACGGCGCUGGAGGCAGGCAGAGGGUGGCGGAAUUCCGGGUGUAGUGGUGAAAUGCGUAGAGAUCCGGAGGAACGCCGGUGGCGCAAGCGGCCACCUGGGCCUGACCUGACGCUGAGGGGCGAAAGCGUGGGGAGCGAACCGG
rnacentral:rRNA from 1 species